GACGGAGGAUGCAAGUGUUAUCCGGAAUCACUGGGCGUAAAGCGUCUGUAGGUGGUUUAAUAAGUCAACUGUUAAAUCUUGAGGCUCAACCUCAAAAUCGCAGUCGAAACUAUUAGGCUAGAGUAUAGUAGGGGUAAAGGGAAUUUCCAGUGGAGCGGUGAAAGUGACGUAGAGAUUGGAAAGAACACCGAUGGCGAAGGCACUUUACUGGGCUAUUACUAACACUCAGAGACGAAAGCUAGGGUAGCAAAUGGGG
rnacentral:rRNA from 1 species